AUAAUACUAAAGAUGGUGCAUUAUUCUAGUCGUGCUUUUUUAUUGUGAGGGUGGGGCUAAAAAUCCACUAAAGGGCAUAUGAAUUAGGGCUUCUUGUUUGUGCGCGAAAUGCCAGUUUUGUGUGUGAGUAGGAAGAAAGAGGUAAGGGAAUGAUGUAAUGGCAUAUAUCAGGACCCCUUGUUUCGCUGAAACUUAAAAGUUUUUAAGUAAAACCUAUGGUGAGUGCCAAGACACAAAAUACAUAGAGUAGCCUGUCUUGAGUGAAUGUAUUGGGAUUAUUUUAUCAUUUAUGAAAUUGCAUUUGCAAAAGAGACUAGCAAUAAAUAAAAAGUAUGUCAAGGAAAACUUCUAGAAUGUUUGCCAGAAUUAACAGGCAAGGAAACUUAAGGAUUAAGGUACGGACUUAAGUGGCGAUCUGGUGUCUAAAGAUUAAUUUAGAUGUUCCCUUUAAAUGGAAACGGCUAUGUAGUAAUAUAUAGUAGAGAAUAGAGAAAUUCAACCAGACCUAAACCGUAAAAUUUACUUGAGUUUUUACCAUCUAAAAACUUA
rnacentral:sRNA from 1 species